GAGCGAUCAAGUGCCUUAAGAGCAUCUGGUGGAUGCCUUGGCGCUGAGAGGCGAUGAAGGACGUGGUACGCUGCGAUAAGCCUUGGGGAGCUGCGAACGAGCUUUGAUCCGAGGAUCUCCGAAUGGGGAAACCCACCUUCAGCCACCGUAUCGUGGAUCCAGUUCACUGGGUCUGCGCUACGAUGGUUCGAGAAGGUAUCAAGCCCUGAAUUCAUAGGGGUU
rnacentral:rRNA from 1 species